CUACAGAGCUCUGGUUGGAUCCAGUACUCUCACAUGUGGGUUCCUUGUGGAUUAAUUUGUGGCUCCUGCAAAAGUCUCCUGGGGAAACUGUUCUCCUGUGCCUUCAUGAGGCUGGUACCUGGCUAGAUUGCUCACUUGCCGAAGAACUUAACAGAAAGCAGUAAUUCGUAGGCGUCUCUUCUGGUGUCUGAAGGGUGAUGGAAGACAACUGAGCUUUCUCAUGAGGCUGUGAAAGGAGUUUGCUAACAGCAGGAGUUCAGGAAUUGUCCUAAACUGAUGGACCCAAGGGGUACCUUGUCUACUCUCUGAAAGUGGCCAGCAUCAUCUCCAGAAGCACAUGCCAGAACAGUCGCCUGUGAGCGGUUUCUGAGCUUCUGUUCUGAGGGUCCUGAGACAGAAAGAGACACAUCCCCAUGUAUUCAGAUGAUUCACCCACAGCACUGGGAACAUGCUUACUAAAAGCUGACAUGCCUGCAAAUCUUGGUGAAGCCCUGCGGAGGAGCAAUGCUGCAAGCCACUUCUAAUUAAACACUAUGAUCAAGUUGUCUCUGAUUGACUGAAACAUAGGACAGAUGCACCUGCUAAGAUUGUGUUACUCUGAGGUGUGCAGUCUGCUGUAAACUCUCAUUGACUUCCUGAACGAGCACCUCACACAAUACACCCCUCAAAUGAUCAGAA